AACGAACGCUGGCGGCAUGCCUAACACAUGCAAGUCGAACGGGAUCCUAGCUUGCUAGGUGAGAGUGGCGGACGGGUGAGUAACACGUGGGAAUCUGCCUUUUUGGUUCGGGAUAACCGCGGGAAACUGCGGCUAAUACCGAAUGCCCUCGAGAGAGGAAAGAUUUAUCGCCAGAAGAGGAGCCCGCGUCCGAUUAGGUAGUUGGUGGGGUAAAGGCCUACCAAGCCGACGAUCGGUAGCUGGUCUGAGAGGAUGAUCAGCCACACUGGGACUGAGAUACGGCCCAGACUCCUACGGGAGCAGCAGUGGGAAUAUUGGACAAUGGGGCAACCCUGAUCCAGCAAUGCCGCGUGAGUGAUGAAGG
rnacentral:rRNA from 1 species